rnacentral:rRNA from 1 species
GUAGGUGGCAAGCGUUGUCCGGAAUUAUUGGGCGUAAAGCGCGCGCAGGCGGUCCUUUAAGUCUGAUGUGAAAGCCCACGGCUCAACCGUGGAGGGUCAUUGGAAACUGGGGGACUUGAGUACAAAAGAGGAAAGCGGAAUUCCACGUGUAGCGGUGAAAUGCGUAGAGAUGUGGAGGAACACCAGUGGCGAAGGCGGCUUUCUGGUCUGUAACUGACGCUGAGGCGCGAAAGCGUGGGGAGCAAACAGGAUUAGAUACCCUGGUAGUCCACGCCGUAAACGAUGAGUGCUAAGUGUUAGGGGGUUUCCCGCCCCCCUUAGUGCUGCAGCUAACGCAUUAAGCACUCCGCCUGGGGAGUACGGCCGCAAGGCUG